GCACUUUUUCAAUAUGCUCCCCAACGAGAAGGCGACAACGGAUUCAUAUGUCAAUCCAUAUCAACUUUCGAUGCCAUUGACUGCACCUACCAUGGUGACCAUGGAUAACGGGGAAUCAGGGUUCAAUUCCAUACAGGGACCCUGACAAACGGCUACCACAUGCAAGGAAGACAGC
rnacentral:rRNA from 1 species